rnacentral:pre_miRNA from 1 species
UCAUCAAGGCUAAAGGAAGAAGAGAGAGAGUACAGCCUUCUAUUAGCUAGCUCACAUUUUCUAGGUAUGAUCUCUUGUGACAAGGCUGUACCCUCUCUCUUCUUCUAUUAGCUUCUUGAUGC